UCUCUCUUUGUCCUCUGGCUACUCAUGGCACAUUAGAGUAGAAGUUUAUCUUCAGCCAUGGUGUUUGCAGUCCAUGGCAAUGUAUUUAGAAAUCUCCCUACUAUUGCUCUGGCUUUUUAAAAUACUUCCUUGCUUUGUAAUUUGCCAUUACUUAUGUUAGUUUAUCUUGAAGCUAUGCAAUAUUCCCGUUCUUCAUACAAGUUUUCUUUCUUCUUUUAGUAUUCCAACACCAUACCUUAAAAAUUCCACCUCCAGCCUAGCAAGCACAUAAAGAUGUGCUGAAGCACCACAGACUUUGAUUCUUCCCUAUUCUGCAGGCUUGCUUCAGUUCUGGAGGAGCUUGUGGUUACCUCAGCUGCAAUGAUCUUAGAGAGGACUCGUUCCAGCUACAUUCAUGCUGAGUAGGACCUCAUUCAGCAAACAGCCUCUCAGUAAUCAAUAUGCCUGCGGGGGAGGAAAUACAGUGUGCCAGUCCUGGUAUGGUUUCUCUGCAUGUACUGACUUCUACUACAGUGGAGACCCUUGUGCUGAUCUGAGAGAAAGGAGGAGAUGACCGACCUCCAGCUUUCCUUUCUGCUUUGCCAAUGAGGAGAUGUCACAAACCACCCUUCUCGCUCCUCAGAGACCCAAGCAAGUACAACUCAUAGCCAUGAAGGGCAGCUGGGGACAGGCAAAGCAAGGCAAGGCCCGGUGCUAUGAGCAGAAGGACAACCCUACUGCCUACCACUGUAGACGCUGGACUUACAACAUUACAGUGCUAUUGCUCAUAAUUAUUUCCUAGGUCACACAGUGCCAGACUGCUCAUGCAGAACACCAAUUCGCUUGCUGGGUUUUCCUGGACAACAUCAAGAUUUAUUUGGUGUUUUGUGGAAGAGACGCUCACUAGUCCUCAGGAUCAUGCACUACUUCGCAAGCUGGCUAUCCAGAAUUGACAGCUCUGGAUGAUGUGUCUCAUGAUUAUGUCAGAGGAACAAAGGACAAAGCCACUGACCUGGAGCACAUCACUAAAUAGGAGCUGAAUUACUGCUUUCUGUUGGACACCAAAUGAUUGUCACUGGGACUAAUCCAGCUGCCUGUGAGGGCUCUCCAGGAAGCCUGACACAGGCAGGAACAGUUCUGCUUUUUGCUCACAUUUGGCUCUGUAUGCAGGCAGCUAUAUUUGCAGAGGAGCCAUCCCCACACCUCAGCUGCUGAGACUGUAGGUGCGAAUCACUGCAGGUGGUCCUAACAUUUGUUUGUUAACUGUCAGUUUAUUUGAAGACAUUCAGUCCUUCCUAAGGGCCAGGAUAAAUGUUCCACACAGUUUUAGUUCUAGGUGGAAUGUUUAGUUCUCCAGUCUUCAUUAUACAAGCGUGAGAAGAAACGGUUUGGGCAGAGUCAAGAAUAAAUAUGCUUUCUAAUCAUAAUGUAUUUUCCUCAUGGUGGAGCUCACAGAGACUGAAAGCAAUACUUCAUUAUAUCAAUAUGCUCUAGCGGUUUGUUCCUGAAAAAAAAAUAAAUAAAUAGGAUUUACUUAAGACAGAGUAGUCUCAGAAAAAAAAAAAAAAACCCAACAAAAAAACUCCUCCUCUGAAUCAAAGCAUUCACAAAUGCUUAUAUGAACUACAGUGGAUAGAUAACAGACUGCCUUGAUUUAAAUGAGGAACAAAAGCUCUAUUUUAAGCAAUUCCCUAUGGCCUAGUCUACUAAAUGGCACCAAGAGACUACUUGUUCUACUUUUUUAGCGUCUGGCUUUUGUUAUUAAAGAGAAUAACAGCCAUACCUUAAGUCUGCUUCAGUGAAAAACUAAGGGACACGGGUUGGCCAAAUCCAGUGGAGAGAUUCCUGAAGAGACUUCUCAGCCUAGGAAAAAGAAAAAAAGAAACCCAUGCAGUUCAGCACAAAGAGGCACAUUUAGUCUUGUCUGACACAUUAACUCUCACUAUCCUACUGUAAAUCUUCCCUGAAUGCAACAGAAGAAAUGUGCAAUCUAACGUUUAUAUUCACAGGAACUUUUGCAUUAGUGAAGUGCUCUCUUGAAGGCAUUACUUUCAGGAGACUGAAGGGAAAGGAGGGAUUCAAUGUCAUUUCACUUCCUGAAGCACAGUCUGGAGUGCACCUGAAGAACUGCAAGUGUUAGAUGCUCCCACAGAGCAGAGACAGGUAGGUUCAGACACAGUAUCCAACACUACAGAAUUUAACAAACCCUAACCUGUCCUACCAAGUUCACAUUAACCCACAACUAAGGAGCUUCUGAUGCUAUAAAGUAAGUUGCUUUUAAGUCAGUGUAAAGCUUCCUGAAUAGCUACAACAAAUAGAGUAAAAAUACAUUUCGGGUGACAGAAAUCUCAGGGCAUGAAAAUGAAUUAAAGAUGUCAUGGGAGACAUUUGAAAGUACUUAUAGCUCUCAGAAUGAGAAAUGUUAAUACUCCUCCUAAAUGUCAUAUAAUUGGCCCAAUUUCAUGCUCAGAAUCAUACGGAUUUUCAUAGUUUUUGACUCCUAAAAGGGAUAAUUUUGAGUGAAAAUGGCUGUAUUUCAGGUAACCUUUUUUCCUGCCUCAUGCUGUAAACUAAUAUUGCAGUUAAGCAGAGGUUGCGUUUCAGCAGUAGCUUGAAUGGAAAUAUCUUUCUGAAAAGCAUAUGGAGUCCUUUGUGACGAAAGGAAUUCUAUAAAUAUAAGUCAAUUAUUUUUGGAGUGGCUUGAAAUUCAAGCAGUUUUCUAAAUGGCAUGAUUUGGGGCCAGUCAAAAUGUCUACUGAAUUUAUUUUAUCUCUGGGAAAAGAGACAAAAUGAUACCAAUGCACCCCCAUGUGCUUGGCUUUUUUCAGUCUGCUGUGGGAUCAGCCAGCUGGGCCAAGACAACAGACUUUUGACAGGGAAAGGAUCAGUGCUGUGGUGUAUGAUACCCAUCUACCACAACAGAAAGCCACAGGUGAUAGAUAAAGCAAUAACACACUUUUUACCAUAGGCUGGAGUAUUGGAAGUAAAUAGAAGGUGUCAUGAAAGAAAAGGAGAACUGGUUGCUGGUACAGGACUGUGAGUCAUACUGAACAUGUAAAUGACUAAGAAGGGGGGCAUCAUCCCUCUAUAAAACAGCUUUCAUAACUGAUUUACCACAAA